CAAGACUGACUGUGAGAAACCCUGGGAGCUCAGGAAGGAAGGAGCCGCUCAGAAGCAGGGACAGGGAGCUGGUGGGAAAGACCAGAAGUGAGCCCUAAGCCGCAGCCAUCUCUGUCCUGGCCGCCUCAGGGCACCCUGAGAAGACCAGGAGAUGUGGGUGUGGCGGCUGCUCUUUUGGCUCCUCCUGCUGGAGUUUCUCAGCCAUCACUCCACCCUUGCGAUCAGGUUUCUACUUGAUUAUUUGUAUCCUGGACACGACUUUCUUGGCAUUCGGUGGAUGCUUUUCACUACUGUGUUUCUGGGAGUUUCUACAGUUGGCCUUUUCCUCCAAAAAAUUAUCUUCUGUGUGAGUAUACUAACUUCCUGUAAAGGUAUACUUGUAAUCAAAAAGAAGAAAUUAUUUAAAACAAUUCAUGGUUCUGGACUUUAUUAUGUAUAUUCAGUUUUACCAAAAACAUCAGGGAAAUGAUUUAUUAGCAUAAGAAUUAUAAAAAUAUCUGCCAUUUACAUUAUGAAAAUUAAAUAGGUUGAUGUUUGUUUAAUAGAAUGUCAACAGAGCUUUGGGUCAAACAUAAGGUUUUUUUUUUUUAAACCUUUGUGCCCUUUAUCAGAAAUGGAGUAUGAAGUUUUGGCAUUUAAAUAGGAAAUUCUGUCUAAACUUUUCUGCUUUAUAAUUCUAUUGUGUGGCUGGAAGGAAAGCUUUCACUGUCCUCUCUAAUGGUUCACCGCAGAAGUGAACUAACAACAGACAGCUUAACAGGAGAAGAAAAGCAUAGGACAGGCAUAAACAUGGGAGCCAGGCAAAAAAUGAGACUGUAAGAAGGGUCAGAUGGUUAAAAAGCACCCUCUUUUCAGGGGCGAGGGAGAUAGAUGGAGGUGGAGGCAAUUUAGAGGGGCAGCAAAUGAAUUUUAAAGGAAAUGAAAGAGUCCAAGGAACAAACAGUUGGCCUGAGACAAAGUUCCUCUGAGAUCAUAGGGACAAGGUGACAAACUGCAGGAAGGUGAAGGGCAGAGCUGCAUGGCAUCUCAUGAUGCAAAGAAAGCCCCAGAGAAUCUGUUGGAACUGCCCUUCAGAGAAUCAGUGAAAAGUGUGUCUGGGCAGGGUCAUUUUGAAUGACGUCAUCAAAGUGCAUGUUCCCGGUUGCAGGUGGAGAGGGAUCAGUAUGUCCAAAGUCUGUACUUGAUAGGAAUUUGGCUGCUAAGUUGUGCCAUCAUUUGAGUUUUUUUGUCCAUUGGGUAAAUUGAGCUCUAUA